UCAGACUGACAUAGAAGAAACAUCCUUUGUGAGCAUAGGGAAGAGGCGACCACAUAAUGGAACAGUUAUUACAACUACCAAUAUCUACACUACCACUGGGGCUUUUUUUGGGAUACUGCAUUUCAUGUCCUUGGAAGAAAGACAUUUGGUGUAGCUCUUCUGGCUUGGUGUACAAUGUAUUCAUUGAAUAUUUAUGGAUGAAUCCUUCACCACUUAUGACAUUUCAAUCUGCCAAUGUUAUUUGGUGAGGCCAUGGUUGGGAAGUCACUCAUAGCGUCAUGUGCUGCUUAGCUAAACGGGUGUCCAAAAACUGCCAUUGUUUCAAGGACAAUAAUUCAACAUGUGGAAACAAUGAAAAGGAAAAUUGAGAUCUGGCAGAUACCGCAGACAUGCUCACCUACUAUGGAUAUACUAAGGAUCAACUGCGAGCAGUGGUGAAAGGGGUGGAUAGCUUCACCAAGGCGACAAAGAACGUGUUCCAGCAAAUCUUUAAUAAAGAGGAAUGCAAUGUCACAGGUGUGGCCUUGAACAAAAUUAAAUGUGCACCUGCAAGACCAGCCAUUCAAGAUCAAAGGCGGUUACAAUUUUUCUAGGUAGGAGAAAUGGAAUACAAUUUGACCUUCAGGUGACCUUGACCUUUAACUGCAAAUCCAAGAAGAUCACUCAAUUUGACAUUUUUGUUAAGUUUUGUGUUUAAGCCCACAUUUUUCUUAAACGUUUAAAGCUGAUAAUUUCUAAUAAUUAAGUAUAUAUAUGGGCUGAUAUACGAGUACAGUCAAAACCUGUACUAGUGACACAAUUUUGAAAAUAUGAAUAUAUACACUUUAGAAACUGGCGGACUUCAAAAAUAUUUCCUGAAACAUUUUGAAAUAUAGGGGAUGUAGUAUUGUCAUCAAUUUAAUUUUAAAAUGUUAUCUAUCUUGAUGAUUUGGUAAUUUCAUGAUGAAUAUCAAAGGCCUGAAGGGCCUGAGAGUCGGCU
rnacentral:lncRNA from 1 species